UAUACUGGCAAGUCGAGCGAACUGAUUAGAAGCUUGCUUCUAUGACGUUAGCGGCGGACGGGUGAGUAACACGUGGGCAACCUGCCUGUAAGACUGGGAUAACUUCGGGAAACCGAAGCUAAUACCGGAUAGGAUCUUCUCCUUCAUGGGAGAUGAUUGAAAGAUGGUUUCGGCUAUCACUUACAGAUGGGCCCGCGGUGCAUUAGCUAGUUGGUGAGGUAACGGCUCACCAAGGCAACGAUGCAUAGCCGACCUGAGAGGGUGAUCGGCCACACUGGGACUGAGACACGGCCCAGACUCCUACGGGAGGCAGCAGUAGGGAAUCUUCCGCAAUGGACGAAAGUCUGACGGAGCAACGCCGCGUGAGUGAUGAAGGCUUUCGGGUCGUAAAACUCUGUUGUUAGGGAAGAACAAGUACAAAAGUAACUGCUUGUACCUUGACGGUACCUAACCAGAAAGCCACGGCUAACUACGUGCCAGCAGCCGCGGUAAUACGUAGGUGGCAAGCGUUAUCCGGAAUUAUUGGGCGUAAAGCGCGCGCAGGCGGUUUCUUAAGUCUGAUGUGAAAGCCCACGGCUCAACCGUGGAGGGUCAUUGGAAACUGGGGAACUUGAUUGCAGAAAAGAAAAGCGGAAUUCCACGUGUAGCGCUGAAAUGCGUAAAGAUGUGUAGGAACACCACUGCCGAAAACGGCUUUUUGAUCUGUAGCUGACGCUGACGCGCUAAAGCGUGGGGAGCACACGGCAUUAUAUACCCUGCUGGUCCACGCCGUACACGAUGAGUGC
rnacentral:rRNA from 1 species